UAUCUUUGCCACCUAAAAAUCAGUACAUAAUAAUCAUUUAAAACAAUAUUGGAAUG
rfam:Capnocytophaga canimorsus strain CcD38 genome assembly, contig: CCAND38_Contig_37